GCAUGCUUUCAAAAUACCUAAGGAGUCUAUGGAGCAUAUUGAUACCUAAUCUACUCGCAAGAAAGCAGACUGCAUUCAGGGAACAUGGCUCAUUGGCUUUGAUUGAUAAAAGGUCAUUUUAAUUAAAUUUUACCAUAAGAAAUUCCAAAGCUACAAUGGGUAGGUUAUGAUGCAUAUGUCCCUUUGCCAACUUCCUGAUCUCUUUUUCCCCCUAGGCUUUAUGGAGAAAGCAACAACAAAACUGUCCACGUCCAUCUACCAGCUAAUUGGCAUGUACUGUAGCAGCUUCUACACCGAUUUUCAGCCGGUCAGGUCAGCCGGAAGCAUCCCCGCGGUGCACCCCGGGAUACAUUCCCACCUCAGCUUCACGGUGUCCGCGGUGCACAAUGUCCCAGAGUCGUGGGUGCACAGCUAUAAAACAUUUUCGUUUUCCUGCUGGCUUACAUAUGCCGGAAAGAAGUUGUGCCAAGUGAGAAACUACAGAAAUAUUCCGGUCAAAAAAUUAUUUUUCUUCUUGAUCAACUGGAAUGAAAUGUAAGUUUAAUCUUUAUUCUGGCUGGAUCAUUUUUUUAGUAAAAAAUAAGCUUUA
rnacentral:lncRNA from 1 species